ensembl:snRNA U1 U1 spliceosomal RNA
AUACUUACCUGGCAGGGGAGACACCAUGAUCAAGAAGGCGGUUCAACCAGGGCGAGGCUUGUCCAUUGCACUCCGGCCAUGCUGACCCCUGCGAACUCCCCAAAUGCGGGAAUCUCGACUGCAUAAUUUACGGUAGUGGGGGACUGCGUUCGCGCUCUCCCCUG